rnacentral:rRNA from 1 species
AUACAGAGGGUGCAAGCGUUAAUCGGAUUUACUGGGCGUAAAGCGCGCGUAGGUGGCUAAUUAAGUCAAAUGUGAAAUCCCCGAGCCUAACUUGGGAAUUGCAUUCGAUACUGGUUAGCUAGAGUAUGGGAGAGGAUGGUAGAAUUCCAGGUGUAGCGGUGAAAUGCGUAGAGAUCUGGAGGAAUACCGAUGGCGAAGGCAGCCAUCUGGCCUAAUACUGACACUGAGGUGCGAAAGCAUGGGGAGCAAACAGGAUUAGAUACCCUGGUAGUCCAUGCCGUAAACGAUGUCUACUAGCCGUUGGGGCCCUUGAGGCUUUAGUGGCGCAGCUAACGCGAUAAGUAGACCGCCUGGGGAGUACGGUCGCAAGACUAAAACUCAAAUGAAUUGACGGGG